rnacentral:sRNA from 1 species
GACCGCUGCCUUUGGCAGCCAAGGCCACGCGGACAGCCGGGUCGAAUGCCGA